rnacentral:tRNA from 1 species
GCCGGUUUAGCUCAAUAGGUAGAGCGCCUGCCUUGUAAGCAGGAUGUCAUGCGUUCAAAUCGUGUAACCGGCACCA